GGGUAGUUGUUUUCUGUGUCUGUGUUUUCACCAUACAGAACUGUUUCGAUUUUCGUUGUUUCACGUUUGUUAUUUUGUGUUCAGUUGUAAUAAAUUUAACAUGGACAUGUACCACGCUGCAUUUUGGUCCAAUCUUGACUACUCUUCCUCAGACGAAGAGGUGAAUCGUUACAAAUUCAUUACCAACUAGCUAGUAAGCUAUGUAUUUUGAAUCAAGCAACAAUAGGCUAUUCAAUCGGAUCAUUUUCCUGUUCACCCAAUCAAAGUUACUGUGGUCCUGUGUGGCUUGCAGAACCAGGGUUGUGGGUUCGAUUCCCACGGGGGACCAUUACAAAUUCAAAUGUGUCCACUCAGUACUGUAAGUCCAGGUGUAGCGUAUCAUCCAUGGAAAAACAAAAAGUACCUCAGGCUACGCUCUCGCAUCUCAAAACCUAUCAUACAUAGUCUCACUACGCCUUGAUAGUAGCUAGCUUAGCUUUCUACUGCAUCGAUGGAUUCCCAGGAGAGAGUAAUUGCGAGAUUUUUAAAUAGUAAUGAUGUUGUGCUGGGAGCAGGUUCAGACGAUGAGUGGCGUCAAUUUAUUGGCAACUACUUUUGACCUGAGCCGGAGAGUGUGGCCGCAAAUGGAACAGACACCGACUCAGACAAGCUCACCGAAGUCGAGGCCGAGCCCCUUGAGGACGAAACUGAGGAAAACCACCCGUUAAAGGUUGGAUCCGUCAAUUACGGCGCUUCAGUCGGUCAAGGGGAAAUAUGUAAAUGAUGCUGGGCAAGAAAUUGAAAAGGCUUGCUUGUUCAGGUGCUCUUGCAAGUCCAACGAACGGGAGCCCUGCUAUUUGCUUUUUACCCCUGAGGGUCCUAUUUGUUCUAAAGACAGGUUACAUAAAUGCAUGAAAUGGCCAUCAAUAAAGUUAUAUAACUUGACCAUCUAUAAAGAUAUGUCAAACAUGACCCAUUUACUGUCCGAGUAAAAGUGUGUGUGUUUUCUGUGUGUGUGUGUGUGUUUACUGUUUGUGGUAUGUGUGUGUGGGAUUCAUGCAUACAUUUAAAUAAGCACAGGGAAUGUGUAGUUUGUGUGUUUUAUUGAAAGUGUGAUGAUAUAACUUGAAAAUGUAUUGGCUAGAAUAUAUUAUGAUGGUGACAAUGUUAAAGAAUUAUGCACUAUUAUUUGUCUUAUUUUUCAGAUGGAAAACAUAUAGUGCUCACUGGCAAGAUUCCUGGUUCCAUUAACCUUUCCAAGAAAACUGUCAGCUCGAAAAGAAGCGAACAAACAAGAAAGGAAACAUCAGAGGAAAUAAUAUUUCCUUGAUAGCCAGCAAAUGUGCAGAGGAACAUUCAAGUUCCUACAUGCUUAAGUUGUCUUUAUUUCUAAGAGUACUACAACUUGAUGUUUUCUGUUAUUAUUGGGGCUGCAACAGUAUUAAAAAGUUCAGGAGGUAUUUAAGAAAGAAUGAGUAGUAAACUGUAUUAUGAAUAUAAAUAAAAGAGCUGAGAAAACAUUGUGCCUUUCAGCACAUAUUAAAGGCAUGUUUUAAAUCAUGUCUUUUCUGAUUUCAGAAUUUCUACAAAAAGCUGACUGCAGUGAUAAAAGUUCUGCAAGGAACAUGGUGUGAUAAUUGGUGUGGAGGUCGUCUCGCUGUCCUACGAGAACAUUCAGCGAAUCAUCCACGCAAUGCCGCUCCCAGGACAGAUCUGCUACGGUGCUACCGACAUUUGAGACAAAGUCCUCUAUGACGCGAACCGUCGACACGGCUGGCUGGCUAUCUUCCAAGGAGCAUCUUCCUGAGUGAACAACAGUAGCAGGCGGGAAAGGGGAGACCCAUUUUGGACAAUCAGAGCCACACAAGCGUGCCGCUGAAAGGCCAACAACCUUCCUAAGUAGGGCUGGUUCCAACAGCGAUAAAUGGUAAACGAAGGCAGUCACACGUAAAUACAUUCAUGAUUUCUUACUUUGUGUGCAAAGUAUAUGAUUACUGUGAGAAUAGUUUCUAAAAUGUAUCAACAAUGAGUAUCUUUCUUUUUCUCUCUCUCUCCCUCUCCAUGUCAUUGUGUAAAAAGCCACCAUAUUGUGUCAGUCUGCUAGGAACCUUUUUCUCAUGUAUUAAGUGUGUAUGUUUAUUCUGUGUUAUUAUUUAGUUAGCUAGAAAAUAAAUAAUUAAACCAAUUUGUGUAGCACUGAAUCAUAAGUAAGGCUGGGGUUUUUGCAGAUCCAAGAAGGUUAUGACUGUUCAGAAUGAUGAUAUGAUAAGAGGUCAUGAUUUAAUAUGUUGACUGUUGGAUGUGAUAGGUCAAGACCUUUAGAGUUUAAUUCGGGAGAUGGUAACACUUUAAACAACUGCUCUCGAGGUGCCCCAAAUUCCUAAUGUGUUAAUUGUUACAUGAUUAAUUUAAUCGGGUAACAAUUAAACAUAGUUAUUUGAUUCGAUAAAGAACAGUCAUCAGAUUAAUGACACACACUGCCAAAACAUGUAUUAGGUCAAGCGUUUUUUUUUUGACAAAUAAAAUAUAAUUAUUUGAAGCUGUAUCAUAGUAAGAUCCUGCUGCUGGUUAGUAUCACCCCAAUUAUGCCUGUAGUCUAUCAAUGGUUAUCACGGAGGUUAACAGUACUUUUCUUCCACCAACCCUAGUCGCAAUUCAUCAAAAGGUUUGUAUCUUGGACUUGGGUUUUUGGAAUGAAAGUAGCAGGGAUGUGGGUUCUGGUUUUUGUGAUUGUGUGACAUAUUGUUGCCUCAUAAAAUAGCUAUGUGCUCACCAGGAAAAGGUAGAUUCUAGUGAGUUGGCAGGACCCUGGUUUUAUGGACACACAAUCAAUUGAUUUGCCUGUACAGUGCAAUAUUUGUUUCUUAUAGUGUCCAGGCGUCCCCUUUUAAGCUGUUUGACCACAGUAAAUGUCCAGCAACACUUUCUAUGAUCUAGCUUUUUCUUCAAACUCACCUGAUUUGUAUUCUAGGGACUCUCAUAAGUAGACUGGACCCAGGUUCUAUGGACACACUAUCGAUAAUUUUGCCUGUACAGUGCUAUAUUUGUACCGUAUAGUGUCCAGGCGUUCCAUUUUAAGAUGUUUGACCACAGUAAAAGUCCUGUAACACA